rnacentral:rRNA from 1 species
ACCUCAAAUCGGGUGAGACUACCCGCUGAACUUAAGCAUAUCAAUAAGCCGGAGGAAA